rnacentral:rRNA from 1 species
GUAGUCCAUGCCGUAAACGUUGGGCGCUAGGUGUGGGGCUCUUUCCACGAGUUCCGUGCCGCAGCAAACGCAUUAAGCGCCCCGCCUGGGGAGUACGGCCGCAAGGCUAAAACUCAAAGGAAUUGACGGGGGCCCGCACAAGCGGCGGAGCAUGCGGAUUAAUUCGAUGCAACGCGAAGAACCUUACCAAGGCUUGACAUGGGGCGAAAACUGGCAGAGAUGUCAGGUCCGCAAGGGCGCUUCACAGGUGGUGCAUGGUUGUCGUCAGCUCGUGUCGUGAGAUGUUGGGUUAAG